AGGCAGGAGCCGUGGUGUGUGUGUGAACUGUCUACAGAGGCGGCAGGUGACCCAGCACUGUCAGCUGCAGCAUCUGGCAAGGCAGACAGAUAGAACUUAACAAGAAAAAGCUAAGGAAGAGAAGAGGAGAGAGAGGAGAGGAGAGAGACAG